rnacentral:tRNA from 1 species
UAGCUCAGUGGGAGAGCACUGGUCUCGUAAACCAGGGGUCGUUAGUUCAAUCCAGC